rnacentral:rRNA from 1 species
GUUGGUACUUGUACCGACUGGAUGAGCAGCGAACGGGUGAGUAACGCGUGGGGAAUCUGCCUUUGAGCGGGGGACAACAUUUGGAAACGAAUGCUAAUACCGCAUAACAACUUUAAACACAAGUUUUAAGUUUGAAAGAUGCAAUUGCAUCACUCAAAGAUGAUCCCGCGUUGUAUUAGCUAGUUGGUGAGGUAAAGGCUCACCAAGGCGAUGAUACAUAGCCGACCUGAGAGGGUGAUCGGCCACAUUGGGACUGAGACACGGCCCAAACUCCUACGGGAGGCAGCAGUAGGGAAUCUUCGGCAAUGGACGAAAGUCUGACCGAGCAACGCCGCGUGAGUGAAGAAGGUUUUCGGAUCGUAAAACUCUGUUGGUAGAGAAGAACGUUGGUGAGAGUGGAAAGCUCAUCAAGUGACGGUAACUACCCAGAAAGGGACGGCUAACUACGUGCCAGCAGCCGCGGUAAUACGUAGGUCCCGAGCGUUGUCCGGAUUUAUUGGGCGUAAAGCGAGCGCAGGUGGUUUAUUAAGUCUGGUGUAAAAGGCAGUGGCUCAACCAUUGUAUGCAUUGGAAACUGGUAGACUUGAGUGCAGGAGAGGAGAGUGGAAUUCCAUGUGUAGCGGUGAAAUGCGUAGAUAUAUGGAGGAACACCGGUGGCGAAAGCGGCUCUCUGGCCUGUAACUGA